rnacentral:ncRNA from 1 species
UUGAUAGAGGCGCGGCUUUUAUCAGUAGCAUAAAACUUUAAAGGCAAUGGGUUUUAUGUGAAAGGAAACGCCGCCGAAGGGAACUGAAUCGCCUUAAUUCUGCUUCUCUGGGUCGUCGGGAAAUACCCGGCGGACUGUCGCGUAUUUGCGGAGAGCUAUCGUG